AUUGAACGCUGGCGGCAUGCCUUACACAUGCAAGUCGAACGGCAGCGGGGGAGAAGCUUGCUUUUCCUGCCGGCGAGUGGCGAACGGGUGAGUAAUACAUCGGAACGUGCCCUGUAGUGGGGGAUAACUAGUCGAAAGAUUAGCUAAUACCGCAUACGACCUGAGGGUGAAAGGGGGGGACCGCAAGGCCUCAUGCUAUAGUAGCGGCCGAUGUCUGAUUAGCUAGUUGGUGGGGUAAAGGCCUACCAGGGCGAAGAUCAGUAGCUGGUCUGAGAGGACGAUCAGCCACACUGGGACUGAGACACGGCCCAGACUCCUACGGGAGGCAGCAGUGGGGAAUUUUGGACAAUGGGCGAAAGCCUGAUCCAGCAAUGCCGCGUGUGUGAAGAAGGCCUUCGGGUUGUAAAGCACUUUUGUCCGGAAAGAAAUGGCUCUGGUUAAUACCUGGGGUCGAUGACGGUACCGGAAGAAUAAGGACCGGCUAACUACGUGCCAGCAGCCGCGGUAA
rnacentral:rRNA from 1 species